GCCAACUGGGCUGGGCUGGGCUGGGCUGGGCUGGGGCAGGGGGGCAGUCCC
rnacentral:miRNA from 1 species